CUGCUUGGUGAGUAUUCCAGUUAUCAUAUAGUUCAAUGGUUCGCUGUCGGCGUCUCGGCGAUGAUACUACGUUCGAUAUUAGGUACGAAGAUAAUAAUAUUAAUAUGAUAAACUGCUACUAUAUAAUGGUAUGUACCGACUUAAAUACAAGUUACAAAUGAGUGGUGCUCAAGGCAACCGGCAAUGCUUAUCCUUUACGUGUUGUACCACGAUCGUUUACUUGCCAGGCUGAUCAUCCUAUCUCUACUGCUGAUGCUCGUGGUUUUCGUUGACUUUUACGUGACUCACCGCAGUCAAAACUUCAUCAGGUCGUUCAACAAGAGAUCCAACCACGUCGCAGGUUAAACGCCACACUGCCUUGGAUGCGACACCGACGACGUCUUCCGAGGUACCCGCUGGUUUAAAUAGGACGAUGCUAAAGUGUUGAUCCGCAAGUCAACUAUGAACAUGAGGGUUUCCACUACAAGGUGUUGCUACAAUCGAGUGCUGAAGUUAGACCCCAAUGUUGAGAAAAAAGUUGCUGUUGAAGAAUUUGUCUUACGCUCUAUGGAUACAACUACAGAUGAAAAUAAUGUGAGCAAUGACAAAAGCAAAGACGAAUAUGAUAACAAAGAAUACUAUUUCUUGUGAGUUUAGAGAAUAAUGGACCCUCCAAUAUGCUUUCCAGCACGUUCACAACUAAUCUAGACCACUCAUUUUUCAGCUCUUGUAUACAUAUUUAGGUGAGUUGUAUCUUAUGAUCUCUAUCUACAUGUGUUAGAACAGUGUGCAGCUGUUUGUCAUGGUUGGUACUUGUGUCCCAAAGAUCUAGAGUUAUGGCAUCCAGCAUGCUUCAGUUAAUUAUUAAUAGGUGUGGUCCAAGCAAGUGGAUAUAGAAUCUUCUGCUACUGAAAAUGAAUGUGAAACACCUAUAUCCAAUAAAAAGCAUAAGAUGAGUUCAUCUUCAGAUGACAAUUAUGAAGGUAUAAAUGUGUCUAUUGAAUCCAUCAGUCAUAAAAAUGUUGUGUUCCUUAUGGAACUGAGUUUUGGACAUUACACCGAAUUACAGGUAACAAAUGAUACAGCAUCUAUUGAUCAACAACCAUCUCCUGUGUUACAAGCUGAAGCUAGUACAUCAUUUUCAAGCUCAGCAGUUAUCAUAAAUGCAUUCAAUGGUGAUUUAAACAAGGCUGAUCAUCCUAUCUCCACUGCUUAUGCUCGUGGUUUUCGUCGACUUUUACGUGACUCACCGCAUUCAAAACUUCACAAGUCGUUUAACAAGAUAUCCAACCACAUCGCAGGUUAAACGCCACAUCGCCGUGGAUGCAACGCCGACAACGUCUUCCGAGUUACCCGCAGGACGAUGCUAAAGUGUUGAUCCGCAAGUCGACUAUGAACAUGAAAGUUUCCACUACGAGGUGUUGCUAACACAAAGGAAUCAUUUAUCAAAAGUUUUGGUGGUUGUGGAUCAAAAACAAUAUUACUAUAGUAUUACAGAAAUUAUUUACUAACGAAUUUGCUGUAAUAACUACAUGGACUGGUCGUGCGAAAAACAUAUCUAUUUCCAUAGGCACUUCAGAAGUUGUCAAACUAUUAAGAAGAAUCAUUAAAGCUAAUUCAAAUAAUACCUAAACUGAUUCAGAGUUUGAAAUUGUGGUGGCUAAUUGGCUAAGACAUGCCAAUACUCGUAUGAAUAGAUCAAAAUAAAUGAGGUUCAAGAAGUAUAUAAAAAAAAGCUAUUUACUGUUGUGUGAUAAAUUGUAUGCAUUGGUCAGUAAAGACUAAAAAGGCAAUAGUAAAUAAAUACCUAAAAAACUGUUAAAAUACUAAUUUUAUUAUACUUUAUUUUCUUGAUAUUUACUGUAUAAAAAUUCAAUUUGUGAGUCACACUAAAUUAGUGAGUUAUGAAGAUUAAUAAUAUUACAUUUCAAAAUUCAAAACUAACUUAUCUACUUGUAUUUGAAAUUGUACAAAGAUAUUUAACGAAUUCUACAGUUUUUUAUUAUUAAAUUUAAUAACCUUCAUUUGAUACAAUUCAAAUUUUUAUUUUUAUUUCGACUAUCUAUUAAAAAGAAUUUACGUUCAGAGUUUAUGUUGUUAAUAAUGGUUCAUUAUUUUUUAUACUUUGUACAUUUGAGAGGUAACCAGCUAUACCUAUUUAUUUUUAUUUGUUAUAAUUUAUCGAAUUGAAUGAAUUUUCGACAAAAAUAUACAAUAAAUAAAUAAAUUUUUUUUUUAUUUAUUUGAAUAAUUGAUUAUUAGUAUUUCUUUUAUUUAGAUUUAGGCCUGCAAACGUCAACAGUUUAGUCCCGUAUGAUGGAAAUUGGCGACAAAUAUUCAUUGAACAACCCAAUGUACUGACAAUUUAUUGGUCGUUACAUAUGUAAAAUAACUCAUGUACAAAAAUAUAAAGAAUCUUUCAGAAGCGACACUAAUGAAUUUACUAUUGUACCAUUAUCAUCCUUUAAAAUUGGUGUGUACACCAUUGACACCGCUAAAAUGUCUGAAUUGUUUUGUGCAAAUUUAACUAAAAUUAAAUACAAUUUUUUUUUUCGAUGUCAAACAAUUUAGCAAUGAUUUUUUUCUUUGAAUCAUGCAAUAAAUUAUGUUAUUUAUAUUUUGUUUUAAUUUUUUGUAAAAUCAAGUUGAUUAUACAUUAAAGAAUUAAAAUUUUUAUUUUAUUUUUUAUUUAUUUGUAUUUAUAUUAUGUUAGUACUAAAAUACUUAUAAUUG